CCUACGGGAGGCAGCAGUGGGGAAUUUUGGACAAUGGGCGAAAGCCUGAUCCAGCAAUGCCGCGUGCAGGAUGAAGGCCUUCGGGUUGUAGACUGCUUUUGUACGGAACGAAACGGUCUUUUCUAAUACAGAAGGCUAAUGACGGUACCGUAAGAAUAAGCACCGGCUAACUACGUGCCAGCAGCCGCGGUAAUACGUAGGGUGCAAGCGUUAAUCGGAAUUACUGGGCGUAAAGCGUGCGCAGGCGGUUAUGUAAGACAGUUGUGAAAUCCCCGGGCUCAACCUGGGAAUUGCAUCUGUGACUGCAUAGCUAGAGUACGGUAGAGGGGGAUGGAAUUCCGCGUGUAGCAGUGAAAUGCGUAGAUAUGCGGAGGAACACCGAUGGCGAAGGCAAUCCCCUGGACCUGUACUGACGCUCAUGCACGAAAGCGUGGGGAGCAAACAGGAUUAGAUACCCUGGUAGUCCACGCCCUAAACGAUGUCAACUGGUUGUUGGGUCUUCACUGACUCAGUAACGAAGCUAACGCGUGAAGUUGACCGCCUGGGGAGUACGGCCGCGAAGGUUGAAACUCAAAGGAAUUGACGGCGNGAGAGAGCGAGACGACGACGAGGGAGGAGG
rnacentral:rRNA from 1 species